CUGCUAAGUGACAAAUUUCUAUUUUCACCAAAUUAAAGUCAGAUGGCUCCAGAAUAAACAGGAGAAGACUGCUGGAGUUGUGUCCACACCUUCUAUUCAGAAUAGGGCUCAUGCACUGAUAUUUUCUUCCUGGGAUCUGCUACCUCUUCGUCUCGGUCUUGUGUUGGCUUUGCCCUUGUCUUUAGUUCUCAGACUUCUUUCUACAAGUCCUGUGAGCAAGCCGUUUCUGCCAGCUCUGUCACCCAUCAGGAUCUGACACCCACAGUGACUGAGAAGCUGUUGUGGGUCUUCUCUUAUUCUUGUCUUUCCUGAAUUUGUGCCUGGGGCUCUGCUCUCCACCAGGAUGAUAGAAGCUCUGCCUGCUAUGUCUGUUUGGAUCAUAAAUGCUUUCAAUAAGCAUUUAUGAUCUUGUUCUCUUUCUGAAGACUGCCUGUGAAUCAGAUGUAGAACUCCUUUAUCUUUCAAUAAUCUCCCCCCCAAAUUAAAUAGACUUGUGAGUCA